GUCUAUGGCCAUACCACCCUGAACACGCCCGAUCUAGUCUGAUCUCGGAAGCUAAGCAGGGUCGUGCCUGGUUAGUACUUGGAUGGGAUGAAGUGAAUCUCCUGGAAUGGAAU
rnacentral:rRNA from 1 species